rnacentral:rRNA from 1 species
AGUGAACGCUGGCGGUAGGCCUAACACAUGCAAGUCGAACGGCAGCACAGUAAGAGCCUGCUCUUACGGGUGGCGAGUGGCGGACGGGUGAGGAAUACAUCGGAAUCUACUUUUUCGUGGGGGAUAACGUAGGGAAACUUACGCUAAUACCGCAUACGACCUACGGGUGAAAGCAGGGGAUCUUCGGACCUUGCGCGAUUGAAUGAGCCGAUGUCGGAUUAGCUAGUUGGCGGGGUAAAGGCCCACCAAGGCGACGAUCCGUAGCUGGUCUGAGGGGAUGAUCAGCCACACUGGAACUGAGACACGGUCCAGACUCCUACGGGAGGCAGCAGUGGGGAAUAUUGGACAAUGGGCGCAAGCCUGAUCCAGCCAUACCGCGUGGGUGAAGAAGGCCUUCGGGUUGUAAAGCCCUUUUGUUGGGAAAGAAAAGCAGCAGGUUAAUACCCCGCUGUUCUGACGGUACCCAAAGAAUAAGCACCGGCUAACUUCGUG